rnacentral:lncRNA from 1 species
UGCCUUGAACCUUUGCCUGGUUGCUUACCUAGCGUUGCUCUCAAGUACUCAUCUUCAACUGUUGACGAAUCUCGAAUUUCCUCAGCAAAUAUUUCAAAACAGUUGAUAUGGUGUUGGCUCUUUACACUGAAGCUGCCAAGCAUGGAUGAGUGGCUGAAAAGUGAUGCUUUGAAGGACCAUUUAAAGGCAAAAGGUUGCGCACCACUUCGGCUAGGCGAAAGAAACAAGCAAAGAAAAACGCAGCAUGAUGAGUUGGAACAAAUCAUUAUGGCAGAACACCCUUCUCGGCAGAACUGCAUAAUCCAGACGGAGGGGUCUAAGUCAAAUCCAAGCCUGCCAUCGUUGCUAUAAUCAAAGAGCUCGAGAAGCUUCAACAAACUUUCGCUGGCACUAUCGCCAAAGAGCAAAGUCUCGAUAAUCCUUAAAGAUCAAGUCACCAACUGGAAGAAGAGCCCAUCAAUCUUGAAGAUCAUACCGUUGACCAAACUGCUCAGGGUUCAUAUGAAAAUGCUGCGAACUUCCUUGAUCUUUCAAAGCAUGCAUGUC